CUCGUAGGCGGCCAACUAAGUCAUACGUGAAAUCCCUCAGCUUAACUGGGGAACUGCGUGUGAUACUGGAUGGCUUGGAUUUGGGAGAGGGAUGCGGAAUUCCAGGUGUAGCGGUGAAAUGCGUAGAUAUCUGGAGGAACACCGGUGGCGAAGGCGGCAUCCUGGACCAAUAUUGACGCUGAGGAGCGAAAGCCAAGGGGAGCAAACG
rnacentral:rRNA from 1 species